ACGAACGUUGGCGGCGUGCCUAAUACAUGCAAGUCGUGGGAGAAACCCGGGGCAACUCGGGGAGUAAACCGGCGAAAGGGUGAGUAAUACAUAGAUAACGUACCCCCAUGUCUGGGAUAACCCUCCGAAAGGUGGGCUAAUACCGGAUAACGACGAGAAGGGACAUCCCGUUUCGUCCAAAGCCGAAAGGCGCGAGGGGAGCGAUCUAUGGCCUAUCAGCUAGUUGGCGGGGUAACGGCCCACCAAGGCAAUGACGGGUAGCCGGACUUAGAGGUUGAACGGCCACACGGGAACUGAGACACGGUCCCGACAUCUACGGAUGGCAGCAGUAGGGAAUAUUGCGCAAUGGGCGAAAGCCUGACGCAGCGACGCCGCGUGGGGGAUGAAGGCCUUCGGGUUGUAAACCCCUUUCGUGGGGGACGAACACUGACGUUACCCCAGGAAGAAGCACCGGCUAACUCCGU
rnacentral:rRNA from 1 species